rnacentral:rRNA from 1 species
UACAGAGGGUGCGAGCGUUUAAUCGGAAUUACUGGGCGUAAAGCGCACGUAGGUGGCGACGUAAGUCGGGUGUGAAAGCCCCGGGCUCAACCUGGGAAUUGCAUUCGAGACUGCAUUGCUGGAGUACGGAAGAGGCGAGUGGAAUUCCUGGUGUAGCGGUGGAAUGCGCAGAUAUCAGGAGGAACACCAAUAGCGAAGGCAGCUUACUGGGCUGUAACUGACGCUGAGGCACGAAAGUGUGGGGAUCAAACAGG